GAGCCCGUAGCUCAGCGGUAGAGCAUCUGACUUUUAAUCAGGUGGUCGUAGGUUCAAUCCCUACCGGGCUCACCA
rnacentral:tRNA from 1 species